rnacentral:tmRNA from 1 species
GGGGAUGUCAUGGUUUCGACAUGAAUAAUUGACUUUCAAAGGCAGUGGGGUUUGCCCCUUAUAGCUAUCGAGAACGCUAAAUGCAGACUCAAGAGAAGAUAACGUUAAUUUAGACGAAGCAUUCUUAGUUAACCAAUUAUCAACACAAAACAACCUUAACUACGCAUUUGUAGCCUAGGCCUUUGUGUCUCCAGGUGUUAGGGUUAGACUACUUACCUUAAUACAGUAGAAUAAGUAGUUAUGUUAAGUUGACGCCUAUAGACUUAAUGAAUUCAUAGGCUAAGUUACUUCAAGGUUGUUCUAAUACCGAUGGUAGUAAUGAAAUGCUAAAUUAGAACUAAACUGUAGAAUUUGUUAGAAGAUUAUUUGUGGAAAUGGGUUCAAUUCCCAUCAUCUCCACCA